rnacentral:tRNA from 1 species
GGGCCCGUAGCUCAGCUGGUUAGAGCGCUUGCAUGGCAUGCAAGAGGUCGCAGGUUCGAAUCCCGUCGGGUCCACAA